AGCUCUGUAAGCGUAUACCCAAGUUGUUGCAGUUAAAACGCUCGUAGUCGGAGGUUGGCGGGCGAGCCGGGGCGUCUUCGCGGACGGACCUGGAUCGGCCGCCUUUGUGGAGGGGGGCUCAAGGCCGCUUGAGUGCGGGCUUGUAGUCGCUGCCACCGUUUACUGUGAAAAAAUUAGAGUGUUCAAAGCGGGCGUUUGCCAUGAAUACCUUAGCAUGGAAUAAUAGAAUAGGACCUGUUGUCCUGUUUUGUUGGUUUGUGAGGACCGGGUAAUGAUUAAGAGGGACGGUUGGGGGCAUUUGUAUUCCGGCGUCAGAGGUGAAAUUCUUGGAUUGUCGGAAGACAAACGGCUGCGAAAGCGUCUGCCAAGGACGUUUUCA
rnacentral:rRNA from 1 species